AAGAUUGAUGGGUUGAAGCAGCUGAAUUUCAGUAAGAACAGGUUGGUCGGUUCUUUGCCUGCUUUUAAUGGCUUUGUUGGGUUAGAGUCGUUGGAUUUUUCCAGUAACAUGUUGAAUGGAACAAUUGUUUCACAGUUAGGGUCAUUGAAUGAUCUAAAAAGAUUGUACCUUACGUCCAAUAAUUUGAGUGGUAAUGUUCCCAUCAACCUUGGAAAUUCCAAGGUGUUAGAGCAUCUUAUUCUUUCCAAGAAUUCCUUCACUGGUAGUAUUCCUGAUGGGCUCCUAGAAUAUCGGAAGUUGGUUCGGAUUGAUUUGAGUGAAAAUCAACUUUCUGGGCCUUUACCUGGGAAAAUUGGAGACCUUUCCGAGCUGGAAGAGUUGACUCUGUCUUCCAAUAAUUUGAGUGGAGAAAUCCCAAUGAACCUUUCAAAUUUCCAAAAUCUUUUGAGAUUCGCCGCGAAUCAGAACAAGUUCACAGGCAAUAUUCCAGUUGGAAUUUCAAGAUCUCUCAAGAACUUGGAUCUUAGUUAUAAUAAAUUAGGUGGGCCAAUUCCUGCUGACCUUUUGAUGCAGUCGAAUUUGCAGACAGUGGAUCUUUCUUACAAUCUGCUAGAGGGAUCAAUACCUGCAAAAAUAUCUCCAAACAUGGUUAGGUUGAGAUUAGGAAGCAAUUCACUUGAUGGUACUAUCCCAUCUGAACUUGGAACGCUACCGAAAUUGACUUACUUGGAGCUGGAAAACAAUAGCUUGUCGGGAUCCAUCCCUUCCAAGUUGGGUUCUUGCCGGAGUUUGGCGCUGUUGAAUCUGGGAAUGAAUAACUUGACUGGCAGUCUGCCUGUGGAGUUGGCUAGUCUUAGCAGUCUUCAAGUUCUGAAGCUUCAGUCCAACAAGCUGGUUGGUGAGAUCCCAUAUCAGAUGAACCAAAUGCAAAGUUUGUCCACUCUGGAUAUUAGUGGGAAUUUGCUUAGUGGUUCAAUCCCAAAUUCAAUUUCAAGGUUGCGGAGUCUCACCAAGUUGAACUUACAAGGCAACCUUUUCAAUGGUUCAAUACCUGCAACAAUUGACAGCUUGAAGAAUCUGUUAGAACUUCAGCUUGGAAGCAAUCGACUGAAUGGCCAUAUUCCAGGGAUGCCACUUAGCUUGCAGAUUGCUUUGAAUCUCAGCCACAACCUCUUCGAAGGAACUAUCCCUGAUACUCUCUCUCGUUUGCGGGGUUUAGAAGUAUUGGAUCUCUCAAACAACAAAUUCUCAGGUGAGAUUCCAACUUCUCUGACACAAAUUGGAUCACUGACACAACUGCUACUUGCAAAUAAUCAGCUGUCUGGAGUGAUUCCGGAGUUUGGAAAAUAUGUUACCAUCAUUGAUACAACGGGAAAUCCAAGGCUAGUUAACAGAACAUUACAACGUAAAUCUCCCUAGAGAUCGCCAGGGCCAGGCAAGAGGAAGUCAGUUGCAGUGGCGGUGGUUGUUGCAGUUUCAGUUGCAGCUGCAUUUCUUGGUAUUGGAGUAGCAGUUGUGAUUGUUGUAUCUAUCCCAAGACGAUUUUACAGGGUGGUGAAGGAUGAACAAUUAGGAGCAACAUAAGAACUCCCACCCCCACCCCCCUAGGGUGGUCCAAGGAAAUCUUUUCACUGCAAAUGGUAUCCGCAGCCAUCAAAAUUUUUUUGUAGUGAAUUAAAUUAUCACUAAAUUGGUGUUAAAAAUUAUGGUUUCCCAAAUCAGCAAAAUUUGGGCUCGACAAGUGAGGGUCACACACAUUUGACAUGUAAUAUAUAUUAAAAAAUGUGACACAUGACGAAAUUUAGAAGACUACAAAAUUUAGUUUUAUAUAUUAAAUUAAAUCUUUCUAUUGCAGUCAAAAGAAAAUUAAAAAAAUAAAUAUUUUCUUAUUGACAAAUUUAUUUAAUGAAGAAGACAAGUUAUUAAAAUCAAUGAACCAAUUUCUUUAAAUUAAACAACUAAAUCUUAGGGAUUCCAAAUUUAAUUUCUUAAAUUUACCUAUAAAUAAUGAUGACUUCCUUCAUUGAAGGGGAGUUUAGAUCAACAAAACGACUCCACAAAGGAAGAGAAGCUUCAUACGAAGAAAAAACCUCACAAAAUCUCAUUGCAAAUUUGAGAAAUCAUAGAAGAAUUACACACGCAUUCUUCGCCUUUUAACAAAGUCAUUCGAAAAUAAGUCACGCUAAGUCCUUAAUUGACUUUCAAAACAAAGAAAAUACUUUCUUCGUUUGCUUUUGAAUUGUGAUCAAAAUAAAAAAAUUUGAGGAAAAAUAUUAUUUUUUAAAAGAAUAUCAAUAUAAAGAUUGUAUCCCACAAUUAUUAAUUUUAAUAAAUUUUUGUUUUGCUUAAUCAACAAUAACUCAAUCUAUAAGAAAUAUAUGAUCACCUUAUAUCUUACUCGUAGAUCAAAGGUAUUGAUGACUCGAUAUGAUCGUAAUGUUUGAAUAGAAUAAUAAAUGGAAAUCGAUUAAUCAUACUAUUCAUGACUUUAUUAUAAUAUUUAGGGCUAAUCUAUUCACCUCCCUAGAGAAUAUCACUAAAUACAUCUAACUUAUAUAAGUUUGAAAUUUUAUUAAAUGUCUUCUUAAUUUGCAGUGAGAGGGGAGGUAAGUGAAAAUUAAAAAUGAGAAUGAUAAGAAAGGUGUAUGAAAAAAUUUCAAACCAAUGGGAACCACUUUAGGAAUAAAAUUAACUCUGAUAUUAUAAUAUUGUUAUUUAUAAAUAAUAUAUUCAAAAUAAAUAAUAAAUAUUAAACUUAUUAUAUAAAAUUAAUUAAUUUUAUAGUAUGUCUAUUAAUUAAUUUUACUAUUAUAAAAAUAUAUUAUUUAACUAUAACAAAAUGAUUUUUAUUAAUUUUCAAAAAUUUUAUAAUUUUUAUUUAUUUAUUUUUAUAACGACAAGAAAAGUUGAUGUCAAUGGUGAAAUCCUUAAAAUUGUGAAAGUGUAGAGAAUAGUUAUGUUUGGUUUCCAGAAAAUAUAAAGAAAAGAAAAAAAUAUUAAAAAAAAUAGUUUUCUUAUGUUUGAUUGUCUUAUAAAAUAUUUUAAAAAAAAUUAAAUAUAAUUAAAAUUAGUUAGAAACUUUUAUGUUUUAAAAUUAUUUAAUUUUUACAUUGAUAAUUUAAAAUAAAUAAAAUAAAUUUAAAAUAAUAAAUAAAAAUAAUUUAUUAUUUUUAACUCUAAUUUUUAUUUUUUUUCAUUUUUUUUCUUUCCUUUUACUUUUCUUUCCUAUUUUCUUUCUUUUCAUUUUCCGAGAUAGGGAAAAACUUGAGCGUUUGCCCGAUCUUGGUUUGAAACUUCCACUUUCAAUAUACGCGUAUUUGAAAAUGAGCGCCUCCUCGGUCCACAAGGAAGGUCACAUCUGGGCCCCACCAAAAAGACUAAGCCCACUAGUCAAGCCCUUAUUAACCUUAUUUCUGGGACCCACCCCCACAAAGACCUGUUUGUCAAAAAGGUAAAUGCCCAUCGUUCCAAAAUGAAAAAACAAAGCAAGAAAAAGACCUAAACUCCCAAAUGUGAGUGUCUGAUGUGCGGUCAAAGUCAACAAACAUUUAAAACGCAAACAAACAGGUCCUAAGCCGCUCUCCGUCACCAGUCACCACUGACUAGGCUUGGGUCUUUGCAGUAACAGCAGUCCAGUCAACGCCACUCCGAACACGCACUUCCUCAUUUUUCUCUCUUUUUUUAUUCUUUGUUUCCCACCCUUUUCCUUCCCACCAAACAAGAACUUCCUAGCAUCCGUCUUUUCUUUUCUUUGGCCUCUGAACAUUUGAACCCAAAAUAGAGAUAUAUACUAAAUGAUAUAGCAUAUUGAGUGCUUGUAUAUUAAAUAAGGGGGUGAGGAGUCUUCUGAGUGCCAGAGAAAGAUGAGGAGCCAUGAGCAGAGGGUCUAUUUCUUCUUCUUCUUCUUGUCUUCUGUUCCUUUUGUGCUGUCUCUGUCUUCGACUCAGAAAGAAAUCAUGGAGAAGCUAUCUCGGAGCGUCUUAGUCUGGGGAAAUGAAAAGGAGCCAAACCCAUGUGCAUGGAAGGGAGUUUCAUGCAGCUCCGACUACUCCUCAAUAGCCAAUCUUUCCCUCUCGGGAUUGUCUCUCUCUGACUCUAGUUUUCUGCCACUUGUCUGUGAGAUUGUGUCUUUGGAAGCUCUUGACCUCUCCGACAACUCUUUCAGCUCUGUUCCAGAAGGGUUCAUCACUGCUUGUGGGAAGAUUGAUGGGUUGAAGCAGCUGAAUUUCAGUAAGAACAGGUUGGUCGGUUCUUUGCCUGCUUUUAAUGGCUUUGUUGGGUUAGAGUCGUUGGAUUUUUCCAGUAACAAGUUGAAUGGAACAAUUGUUUCACAGUUAGGGUCAUUGAAUGAUCUAAAAAGAUUGUACCUUACGUCCAAUUAUUUGAGUGGUAAUGUUCCCAUCAACCUUGGAAAUUCCAAGGUGUUAGAGCAUCUUAUUCUUUCCAAGAAUUCCUUCACUGGUAGUAUUCCUGAUGGGCUCCUAGAAUAUCGGAAGUUGGUUCGGAUUGAUUUGAGUGAAAAUCAACUUUCUGGGCCUUUACCUGGGAAAAUUGGAGACCUUUCCAAGCUGGAAGAGUUGAUUCUGUCUUCCAAUAAUUUGAGUGGAGAAAUCCCUAUGAACCUUUCAAAUUUCCAAAAUCUUUUGAGAUUCGCCGCGAAUCAGAACAAGUUUAUAGGCAAUAUUCCAGUUGGAAUUUCAAGAUCUCUCAAGAAUUUGGAUCUUAGUUAUAAUAAAUUAGGUGGGCAAAUUCCAACUGACCUUUU
rnacentral:lncRNA from 1 species